rnacentral:rRNA from 1 species
UACGUCCCGGACCUUGUACACACCGCCGUCAAGCCAUGGAANCCGGGGGUACCUGAAGACGGUGACUUCAAUGGGAGCUGUCUAAGGUAAAACUGGUGACUGGGCU